AGUCAGGGGAAACCCUGAUGGAGGACCGAAGCAGUUCUGACGUGCAAAUCGAUUGUCAGAAUUGGGCAUAGGGGCGAAAGACCAAUCGAACCAUCUAGUAGCUGGUUCCCUCCGAAAUUUCCCUUAGGAUAGCUGCAACCGGUUAAGAGUUUUAUCAGGUAAAGCGAAUGAUUAGAGGAUUCGGGGACGGAAUGUCCUCGACCUAUUCUCAAAC
rnacentral:rRNA from 1 species